AAUAUUUCACAAUGGGCGAAAGCCUGAUGCAGCAACGCCGCGUGAGUGAAGAAGGCCUUCGGGUCGUAAAACUCUGUCAUUGGGGAAGAAAAAAAUGACGGUACCCAAUGAGGAAGCCCCGGAUAACUACGUGCCAGCAGCCGCGGUAAUACGUAGGGGGCUAGCGUUGUCCGGAUUUACUGGGCGUAAAGGGUGAGUAGGCGGUUAUGUAUGUCAGAUGUAAAAGGAGUGGGCUUAACUUACGUUAGCAUUUGAAACUGCAUAACUUGAGUGCGGGAGAGGUAAGUGGAAUUCCUAGUGUAGCGGUGAAAUGCGUAGAUAUUAGGAGGAACACCAGUGGCGAAGGCGACUUACUGGACCGUAACUGACGCUGAGUCACGAAAGCGUGGGUAGCAAACAGG
rnacentral:rRNA from 1 species